rnacentral:rRNA from 1 species
CUUAUGCGUUGUUGGGUAGGGGAGCGUUCUGUAAGCCUGUGAAGGUGUGCUGUGAGGCAUGCUGGAGGUAUCAGAAGUGCGAAUGCUGACAUAAGUAACGAUAAAGCGGGUGAAAAGCCCGCUCGCCGGAAGACCAAGGGUUCCUGUCCAACGUUAAUCGGGGCAGGGUGAGUCGACCCCUAAGGCGAGGCCGAAAGGCGUAGUCGAUGGGAAACAGGUUAAUAUUCCUGUACUUGGUGUUACUGCGAAGGGGGGACGGAGAAGGCUAUGUUGGCCGGGCGACGGUUGUCCCGGUUUAAGCGUGUAGGCUGGUUUUCCAGGCAAAUCCGGAAAAUCAAGGCUGAGGCGUGAUGACGAGGCACUACGGUGCUGAAGCAACAAAUGCCCUGCUUCCAGGAAAAGCCUCUAAGCAUCAGGUAACAUCAAAUCGUACCCCAAACCGACACAGGUGGUCAGGUAGAGAAUACCAAGGCGCUUGAGAGAACUCGGGUGAAGGAACUAGGCAAAAUGGUGCCGUAACUUCGGGAGAAGGCACGCUGAUAUGUAGGUGAAGCGACUUGCUCGUGGAGCUGAAAUCAGUCGAAGAUACCAGCUGGCUGCAACUGUUUAUUAAAAACACAGCACUGUGCAAACACGAAAGUGGACGUAUACGGUGUGACGCCUGCCCGGUGCCGGAAGGUUAAUUGAUGGGGUUAGCGCAAGCGAAGCUCUUGAUCGAAGCCCCGGUAAACGGCGGCCGUAACUAUAACGGUCCUAAGGUAGCGAAAUUCCUUGUCGGGUAAGUUCCGACCUGCACGAAUGGCGUAAUGAUGGCCAGGCUGUCUCCACCCGAGACUCAGUGAAAUUGAACUCGCUGUGAAGAUGCAGUGUACCCGCGGCAAGACGGAAAGACCCCGUGAACCUUUACUAUAGCUUGACACUGAACAUUGAGCCUUGAUGUGUAGGAUAGGUGGGAGGCUUUGAAGUGUGGACGCCAGUCUGCAUGGAGCCGACCUUGAAAUACCACCCUUUAAUGUUUGAUGUUCUAACGUUGACCCGUAAUCCGGGUUGCGGACAGUGUCUGGUGGGUAGUUUGACUGGGGCGGUCUCCUCCUAAAGAGUAACGGAGGAGCACGAAGGUUGGCUAAUCCUGGUCGGACAUCAGGAGGUUAGUGCAAUGGCAUAAGCCAGCUUGACUGCGAGCGUGACGGCGCGAGCAGGUGCGAAAGCAGGUCAUAGUGAUCCGGUGGUUCUGAAUGGAAGGGCCAUCGCUCAACGGAUAAAAGGUACUCCGGGGAUAACAGGCUGAUACCGCCCAAGAGUUCAUAUCGACGGCGGUGUUUGGCACCUCGAUGUCGGCUCAUCACAUCCUGGGGCUGAAGUAGGUCCCAAGGGUAUGGCUGUUCGCCAUUUAAAGUGGUACGCGAGCUGGGUUUAGAACGUCGUGAGACAGUUCGGUCCCUAUCUGCCGUGGGCGCUGGAGAACUGAGGGGGGCUGCUCCUAGUACGAGAGGACCGGAGUGGACGCAUCACUGGUGUUCGGGUUGUCAUGCCAAUGGCACUGCCCGGUAGCUAAAUGCGGAAGAGAUAAGUGCUGAAAGCAUCUAAGCACGAAACUUGCCCCGAGAUGAGUUCUCCCUGACUCCUUGAGAGUCCUGAAGGAACGUUGAAGACGACGACGUUGAUAGGCCGGGUGUGUAAGCGCAGCGAUGCGUUGAGCUAACCGGUACUAAUGAACCGUGAGGCUUAACCUUACAACGCCGAAG